GUAGUCUCGGCUGUUGGAACGGUGGGGCCGCAGCUGCCGCAGCCGGUAACAGCCGCCGCUCGAGCGGAACCGAGCCGAGCCUGCCUCGGCGGGUGCAGGCGGGGGGCUUCGCCCCGGGCUGGGGUCUCUCGCUCAGCCCCCCGCGAGUCCGGCCCCCGGGUGGGGCAGGUGGAGGGAGCUCAAGGUAGGACCCUCCCUCCGAAGCCCCCCGGGAGCGAAGGCGCAGCAGCUGCCCCAGCUCCCGAGCAGGCGGGGAUGCGCAGGGCGGGGGUCACGUCGUAAGUCCCGGACCGGAGCCGGAGCGAGUCCCCGGGUGAAUCAGCUGGUUCUCGAGGGGCACUGUGGAGCACUCUGUCCAGGAAGUACAAGAGGAGGAUGAGCCGGAGAUAGUGGCCGCUGUCCCACAGGAAGAGAACACUGUCAACAAAGCAGCCUGGGAACGGCUAAGGGAUGGCCGUGGGGUAGAACCUGAGGAGUUUGACCGUGCCAGUCGUUUCACACCACCUGCCUUUAUCCGACCUAUUCGGGAACUAAAUGAUGACAAGCCACUUGAUAUCUGCUUGGAACCAAGAGAAUCUGUUAUCAGUGAUGAGAUGUGUGAGAUUUGUGAGGUAUGGACUGCUGAAAGUCUCUUCCCGUGUAGGAUCUGCACAAGGGUUUUUCAUGAUGGCUGCUUGCGCCGCAUGGGCUAUCUACAAGGAGACAGCACAGUGGAAGUGACCGAGAUGGCUCACACUGAAACAGGCUGGAGCUGUUACUAUUGUACUGGAAUACUCUCGCCACCCUCCUCUCAACCUGUCUGAAUACUACCCUUCCUUCAGAGUCCACCAGCAAUCUUCUGUUGAAUUCUUUCCUGGUUGUUUAAGUACACACUGAGCAGUUCCCUUCACUCUAUUGCAUUUAUUAUCUGCAGUACUCACUUGUCAUUUUGCAUAGUCCUGUAUUGACUGUUUAACUCAUAGCAUGUAUAAGUGUCAACUCCAUAACAAAGACUAUGUCUUAUAUACCUUUGUUUCUUCCCCAGUGUUCAGCACAGUAUCCUGCACAUAAUAGGAGCUCCAUAAAUACUUGAUAAUUAAUUCAUCAUAAGUAGCAAUUAAUAGGCCUACUCAGGCCCUUGAUUGGGCAUGGAACUACAGAGAUUAGAGUUAAUAGUUCAUUAAUUCAGCAGAUUCCAUUAAGAGCCUACUGUGUGCAAGGAACUCCUGAUAGAUUCCUCCCACUUUUUUAGAUUUAUAACAAUGAUAAUAAUAAUAGCUACCAUUUAUAUAAUGCUUUAAGGCUUGCAAAGAACUUCACGUGUCUUAUCUCAUUUGAAACUGACACUUGGCAAAAACCCAUGGGAGACGUGCAGUUAAAAGAGGAAUUAUUGGGAUUUGGACGCCUAAGAAUACUAUUUCUCCAAAGCCAAUAAUAAUAAAUAACUCCUGCUACUUCUGUAGCCCUUGGACUUUGACACGUGUUAACUUGUUCUAUCUUCACAGCAGCACUAUGAAGUAGACACGGCAAAUA